GAUGAACGCUGGCGGCGUGCCUAAUACAUGCAAGUCGAGCGAACAGACGAGGAGCUUGCUCCUCUGACGUUAGCGGCGGACGGGUGAGUAACACGUGGAUAACCUACCUAUAAGACUGGGAUAACUUCGGGAAACCGGAGCUAAUACCGGAUAAUAUAUUGAACCGCAUGGUUCAAUAGUGAAAGACGGUUUUGCUGUCACUUAUAGAUGGAUCCGCGCCGCAUUAGCUAGUUGGUAAGGUAACGGCUAACCAAGGCAACGAUGCGUAGCCGCCCUGAGAGGGUGAUCGGCCACACUGGAACUGAGACACGGUCCAGACUCCUACGGGAGGCAGCAGUAGGGAAUCUUCCGCAAUGGGCGAAAGCCUGACGGAGCAACGCCGCGUGAGUGAUGAAGGUCUUCGGAUCGUAAAACUCUGUUAUUAGGGAAGAACAAAUGUGUAAGUAACUAUGCACGUCUUGACGGUACCUAAUCAGAAAGCCACGGCUAACUACGUG
rnacentral:rRNA from 1 species